AGGUAGUCAGACAGUUCAAGUAAACAUUUCGCCAAAGCAUGGGGCGAUAUCUUUUCAAGUAAUUCUGUCUAUAAAUGACAUGGGCCGCUAAUAAGAUAGAAUGCAUUUCCUCAACAUUACUGGCUUUGCCUCUCCUCUCACUCCUAUAAAUCAUUCAUAAGUACCCCUGGCAGCUUCAGGAAUAUCAUACAGAGAUUCCCAUCUUAUCUCCCUUGCCCAGAUUUGGCGAAUAUCAACGGCAGUAAUCCUAAAGUUGAAAAAAAUGAAAGAACAUGCAGAUGUCGCUGAGUGACAGGACCAGAUUCAGAUGUCAACAAUUCAUUUGCUGUGUGCCAGCCAACAUGCUUUCAUAAACUCAGGAGCAGCUGCAAAUGCCCAGAACAGACGUCCUUUCAACAGGCCUACAUGACACAGUCAGCCGAGGGGGCCUUGAGCCCAUGCAUCGACUGGCUGGCUGCAUGGGACUGAAGAGGGAGAUGUGAGGAAGGUCUGGUGUUCCUUCAACUUCUCUAUGGUUAGGAGGCUUGUAGGGUGGAAAAAUAGGGGUUUUCCAUAGCAGCACCAGUGUAUUGCCAGUGAGUAUGUUAACGUAAGCUCUAGUAUUGUUUUGAUUGUCUGUUUUAAGUCAGAGGGUUAUUUCAUUACUUCAAGGUCUCCAGAGCAAAUUCAUAAUGGAAAUUGUUGAAAGAAUGUCCUUCUGGGGGACCUUUUUGAACGGUAAAGUAUGAAUACGGAUGUACUCAGGGAAAGACAAUUGUUCCAGAUUUUUUUUUUGCCCAAGUUUGUGAAGGCUAUUAAGCAACAGUGAACUUGAGGCCAAGUAAAUACUCUGAGUUGUGUAGGCUUAGCUCCCUUACGGAAUAAUAUGUCUGCACAGUGCAACG
rnacentral:lncRNA from 13 species